UACAGAGGGUGCGAGCGUUAAUCGGAAUUACUGGGCGUAAAGCGUGCGUAGACGGUUAUUUAAGUCGGGUGUGAAAGCCCCGGGCUCAACCUGGGAAUUGCAUUCGAGACUGAAUAGCUAGGGUACGGUAGAGGGAAGUGGAAUUUCCGGUGUAGCGGUGAAAAUGCGUAGAUAUCGGAAGGAACAUCAGUGGCGAAAGCGACUUCCUGGACCAGUACCGACGUUCAGGCACGAAAGCGUGGGGAGCAAACAGGA
rnacentral:rRNA from 1 species